AUCUCUGUCUUUCGCUCUGCGUUAAUCCAAAGACAAGUCUGUUUAUUAGAAUUUCUACGCAAGUUAUCUCCUGGAUCCCUUGGAUCUGCAAGCAGGCAACAAAGAAAUGUUUGUUUUCUUUUGACGUAUUACUAUAUUUCGAAGCUCUUCAGACUAAUGCUUCUCCGAUCCUAUCAUCCUGGAGACACUAAACUAUUUGAAGAUGAAUCUCGGUUGAUUGGUGACCAUGGUG